rnacentral:rRNA from 2 species
UACAGAGGGUGCAAGCGUUAAUCGGAAUUACUGGGCGUAAAGCGCGCGUAGGCGGUUACGUAAGUUGGAUGUGAAAUCCCCGGGCUCAACCUGGGAAUUGCAUUCAAAACUGCGUGGCUAGAGUGUGGGAGAGGAAGGUAGAAUUCCAGGUGUAGCGGUGAAAUGCGUAGAUAUCUGGAGGAAUACCGAUGGCGAAGGCAGCCUUCUGGCCUAACACUGACGCUGAGGUGCGAAAGCAUGGGGAGCAAACAGG